AAUCGAGUAAUAAUUUAAGUCCACUUAACUUACAUUGUAAACUGUUAAUAAAAGGCAAUUUGACAAUGCAUACAUAUAGUGCGAUGAUCGAACUAAAAAUUUGUUACAAAUUAAUAUCUAUUUGAUGCGUUUAACAAAUUCUUGCACAAUAACCGUCCACCAUGACCGCUCCACCACCACCCUGAGGCUCGACAUGAGUCAAUUUUAAUCGUGUCAAAUAUACAUUGUUUGGAUCCUCAUGCACAUUAAGCAACAUUCUUAAUUUUUUUCUGCCUAUAAACCAUUAUUCUUCUUCGUCUUCGUUCUCCUGCUCCUCUUCACUUACUAUCUCUACAUUCCCUAUCCAAGCCAACCGCAACUAUCAAUGGCCCAUCCGGCUCAAAAUCCCCAAACCUUCUACACCCAGACUACGAACUUUGAGGGACUUUUUGCCAAUAUUUUCUCCUUUCAAGUCUGCAAACAAUAAUAUUAAUGUAAAGUAAUUAGUGUAAAGUGGUUUAUGCCCACUCAUGGCCAGUACAACCACGAACUCUGCCGUCUCGCCUACAUGAUGUGCGUCCACUCCCACAAUUUUCCCCCUUACUAUGGCGAGGCCUCCAUUACUUCCGAAUAUUUUGUUCGGAUUAUUUGCCAUCAAGGAUAAAUUAGCAUGUGUGAUAAAAGUUCCUAUGAUUUGACACUACAGAGGUAGAGCAACAUGAAAAAUAAAAGAUCAUGCUUCUAAUCUUUGGACUUUUGUAGUUUAAAAAAAUGGCGAUAAUCUUACAACAUUUUUCAGACUCCCGUCCUAAUUGAAAAUGAUUGAUGCAUUAAGAAACACCUAUGGAAUCCAAAAAAAAAACUAACAGCAAGCCACAGUGACAUGGAUGGCUACCUUAUUGCUUUGGAAGUGAAUGGCAUGAGCCGUCCCCUAUAUGCACCAAACAGUUCCAGCCAUGCACAGCUAGCCGAGAAACAUUGGGUCAAAACAAGGGUGUUGGUACCUUGAGCAACGACACCAUCACGUUGACAAAUGCCCAACCCAAUUGCUCGUCGCCAUCCUCGGGCACCACCUGAACACACUCCUCUAGACCCAGGCGUUUCGAACGACAUCCUCCCCGCUUCCCCUGGGCGAUGGCCGACUACCGUAACUUCUCUGGAGCGAAUCCUUCCAAAGCGCUGCCGACAACAUCGUCCCUGUGGCGCUGCUCCUUCCUUUUCGUGCCUUUUGCUUCAUUGACCUCCUUCCUAUGAAGUUUUAGUAACAAGGUACAUUUCAGUAAUCAGUAAAAAAAAUUCAGAUAUUAGUACAAGAAAAAUGAGCCACUUGACAAAGUUUUAGUAGAAAUCAGAUUUUCGUACAACAAGAUAUUUUAGUACGUACUAAAAAGAAUAGUACAAGGGCAAUCAUCCGAACAAUAUCAUCAGAAGUAUGAAACUGAACCUUUAGUCGCAGAAGGUGACUACCCUUGUCAUCUCAAGAUUCAAGCCUCUCCUCUUAUCUUGUUCUCCGAGCAUGCACUAAAAACUGCAAAAAAUACAGAACAUGUACAUGUGUGAACUGAAAUAGUGGAACUCAAACAAACCUUCAUCAAUAGAUCUUUUUUGAACUAUAUGGUCAAUUAUGUACAUGGUCCUCAUAGUGAAAACUAAAAUAUUGGGUUAGCCUUUCCCAUAUCUUUUUUGAAGAAAAUCAUAAGCAUCAGCACCUACUAUGUGGAAGACAAAUCUCCCAGCUUGUUUAUGAUUCAGAAUUCAACUGCAUUCAGGCCAAUACGAAUAGCAUCUCAAGGAUCUAGGUAAAUACCUGGAACAAAACUCAAUGAAGAACCAUAACAUCAGUCAAAACUAAACAUGGAAAUUUUGAACUCACUAUUUUAUGUCAGUCCAGUAGAACGCCCGUGCGUUGCUACGGGCUACAAUGCAUAUAAAUAAAUCAAAAAAUAAUUAAAUUCUAAAGUGGAAGCUCAUUUCUUCCUCCUACGUUCAAGUGUGAACGUACAUCAAACGGACAUCUAGCAGGAUCCCCAAAAUUCAACCGUCUGGAGAAUAGGGUAUCUUCAAAUCCAUGCAUAUCCAUAUGUGAGGAAGAAAUAUGGUUAUCCAGACUAUCUGCCAUGUUAUCUCUAACAAGUGCGGGCCGAACAAAUUAAAAAAAAACCACACCCACGACGCACCCUUCUCUUUCCCUGCCGAACCCUCACCUCCCCGCUCGUUUCCCGUCAUAACGAGACAUUUUUCACUGGAGCCUUCUCCAUUGAAACCAGAUAACGCCCAUCUCACCUUCGUCAUGUCGCACUCUCUUCUUCACAUUGUAUUUCCCCACGGACCGCCGAGGAGUCCCCCGCCAACCGCCCCGCUCUCUGUUCUGUUCCCCUCCCCAUGUGUUUCUGUCGAUGGGGGGAGUUGUGCGCCACCCAUGACACCCUCCGAGCCAAGAAGGUAGAUCUGAUGUCUCCUUAGCCAUUUUCAGAUUGUAACAUAUAGUUCCCCUCCCCAGGUGUUUGUGUGGAACCAACGUCGGGAGUCAGCCGAGCGCCACCCUGGCGCUGGUUUUGGCAAUGCUCCAUGUGCCCAGAGAUUCCGCGUGAUCCACCGAUGCAGUGAAGGCAGGAGCCUCCGCCAUCAUCGUCGACCGCCUAGGCUUAGCCCGUCAGCAUCCUCCGGCGACGAAGGAGGUAACGGAGAGAGGACACGGUGACCCUGGAGGCCGGGGGUAUUGGAUCCACCCGAGUCACCGGCCACGGUGGCAACAUGGGGCCGACCUACUUUUUUUUGUAGAAGCAUAUAUUGAGAAAAAAAAGCCCAAACAAUGAAAAGGAGAAUAACAAUGAUAAUUUUCUGAGAGACCCCACUUCUUGGUGUAAGAUUUUCAUCUAAGAAAAAUAAAUACACAACAAGAAGAUGGAAGCUACCUCAAGUUAUGAAAGCCCCCAUAUUCUUGUUAGUACUGUAUAUAUGUCAUUAGGGCCUCUCGUACUGCCUUCAAGAUUAAAAAAAUAGAUCUAUACAAGAAAAGCAGAUCCUUCAAAAUUGCAAUAUCAACAAAUAUUACACCUAUGCAUUACUAAGGUCUAAGGAGUAUUAAAAUAUGAGAUUUACAGGAAACAAAUUGGAAAACUAUUGAGAUAUUUCAAAAGAGAAAACAUAUAUACAAGGGAAUAUAUUGCUUCAAUUCUCACAUUUUCAGGCCUGUCACCUCCAUCGUAAUUAUAUGUGUCUUUAUCCCUCUAGGACUACAGGAGAAAAAUGCAUAUGCACACGUUAGUGGGUACCAUGUUAACAAAAGAAAGUUCUUUCGAUUAACAAUAGCAGUACCAUGAAUGUUGUUCCACUUCUCUACAGCGCAAUGGUUGCCUGGCACUGAAAAGUCUAUCUCAUUCUUACCUGCUGAAUGGUUUCCUUUAGCUGUCGCUAUUCUUUACGGAUACCGUUGCUGGCCUAA
rnacentral:lncRNA from 1 species